UGAAGAUGAAGAUGAUGAUGAUUUUUAUUUUGCUGGUUGAAUGAUUGCGAUCUGAUUGAUGAUGUUUAUCAUCUAAAUUUGUAAUUACGUCCGUGAGUAUAAUGACCUUGAUCUCAUCUUGAUGUUUUGAAAUUUUUUUUUUUUGCUUAUUCAAUUAAAUUGAUUCGAUGAUCGACAAAGAAAAACGCGGAUGAAUAUGUAGAAUAAAAUUGAUUCCGAAGAAAAACAAACAUACAGACAGAAAAAUCAAUAUUCAAAGUCGAGCCAUGAUCCGUCCAUUCAACAAACAUACAUUUGAUGAAUACUACUGUCUCUUCCGUUUUUAUUUUAUUUUUUUUUUUCUGUGUUUCAAUGAUCCGAAAUAAGAGAUUUUAAGCAAGAAGAAAAAAAAAUUAACAAAUUAACGAAAAAAAAGUGGCAGCAGCAGCAGCAGCAACGUAAAUGUUCAAAAACGUAACAGAGAUGGAUCUCUGAUGAUAUCAUCAUAAAAAAUGAAAGAA